CCCCCAUCUUACCCAGUUUGCAAAACCCAGAUAUAAUAGAUGUAUAAGUGACGACAUCAGGUGAACAAUCUUUUCUAGACUGAACUUCCUUCAAUAGGUCACCGCUCUAUCUAAUUCAUUAACCCUACACAAUCCACUUAUCAGAGUGUUAUAUGUAACAACAUCAGGUAAACCACCAAAACUCCCCAUAUCAUUUAAAAAUUCAAAAGCCCUAUCAACUUCACCUGCUCUGCAGAGACCUCGGAUAAGAAUAUUGAAGGUCCAAGUAUCAG
rnacentral:misc_RNA from 1 species